UAUAAAAUCUGAAGAGAAAAUAACCACCAGUCACCCUGCUAAUCCAUGGGGCACUUCUGGCUGAAUUAAGUUUGUCCUUGUUAAAGAAAUUAUCUUCGUUUUCUUCCCCUCUCAGGAAUGCAUGUAAAACAGUUCCUGUCUCGAUGCACGCCUAAGGCAAAAAGUUCAGUGCUCAAUUACCUGCUGUCUGCAGUCUUGUAUUUUGCAGUGAGCCAGUGAAACAGCAUUUUAAUCAGACGUCUUGACCCAUGCUCUUCUGUUUUCCUUUGCAGCCUUGCGAGCUAUUUGGCAUAUGAAGGUCCUGACCUGAGAAAACCAUCUUGGAUAACCGUGGCAAGGAGAAGGAAAAAUGCAACAGCUAGGAGAUUUCGAGCAGCAAAGCAAAGCCUGGGAACCGGGCCAAAUGCCUGCCACUUACCUUAAAUUGAUCAGCUACUUUGAGAUUAAAACCCCUGAGAGCUGCCACACCGUGAAAACAAGGCCUCCUUCACAUUAAAGGCAAAUUGCGACUUUG